AAGACCGGCCCUCUCUUCCAGGAGGACCUCGUGUCCACGGACGCGUUCAUCAUCGACAACGGCACGAACGGAAUAUGGGUUUGGAUCGGCAAGAAAGCGUCGGCCAAGGAGCGCCAGGAAGCCAUGCGCAACGCGCUAGGAUUCGUGGCCAAGAAAGGCUACAGCCCCAACACACGUACCACACGCGUCAUUGAUGGCGGGGAACCGCAAGACUUCCAGAGUCUCUUCAAGAACUGGAAAGUCAAAUCGGAAACCAAGGUCGCAGGCUUCAAAC